GAGCUUCAGUAUUUGGAUCGCAGUUUUGCUUACAGCAGGGAUAAUACUGAUCGCUGAGCUAGCUGGAUUCUUCAUAUACAAGUAUAUACAGCGGAGGGAAGAUGUGACAAUGGAGAAGGCUUCAGGAAACCAAGACACCAAUGUGAUCUACUGCCCCCACUCUGCCACCAAUCAGAGCGCGGGGAGUGGAGAGGACGGGCCGGCCCCAGAGGAGCUGAAAGGAGGAGGGGAAUCGGGAGAGGGGGAAGAGCAAGCGGCCGUGUACACCAGCCUGUGGGAGCUGCCGAGCAGCGCGGAC